rnacentral:rRNA from 1 species
CGAAGCUGGAUUCGCUAGUAAUCGCGCAUCAGCCACGGCGCGGUGAAUACCGUUCCCGGGCCUUGUACACACCGCCCGUCAAGCCAUGGGAGCCGGGGGUACCUGAAGUGCGUAACCGCGAGGAUCGCCCUAGGGUAAAACUGGUGACUGGGGCUAAGUCGUAACAAGGUACC